rnacentral:rRNA from 1 species
GACGAACGCUGGCGGCGUGGAUUAGGCAUGCAAGUCGAACGGUAUCAUCCUUUCGGGGGUGAGAGAGUGGCGAACUGGUGAGUAACACGUAGGUUAUCUACCCUCAAGACGGGGACAACCCAGGGAAACUUGGGCUAAUACCGGAUGUGAGCAACUUUUAGUUGUUUGAAAGGUGGCGUAAGCUGUCGCUUGGGGAUGAGCCUGCGUCCUAUUAGUUAGUUGGUGAGGUAACGGCUCACCUAGGCAAUGAUAGGUAGGCGGCCUUAACGGGUGGUCGCCCACACUGGGAUUGAGAUACGGCCCAGACUCCUACGGGAGGCAGCAGUCGAGAAUAGUCUACAAUGGUCGGAAGACUGAUAGUGCGACGCCGCGUGAACGAUGAAUCCCUUCGGGGUGUAAAGUUCUUUUAUAUGUGAGCAGUGCUUCUUAUAUUAACAGUAUGGGGAGAGAGAUAUUAGCAUAUGAAUAAGCAACGGCUAACUCCGUAGCCCAGCCAGCCGCGGUAAUCUCG